GUGCUCGCUUUGGCAGCACAUAUACUAAAAUUGAAAUGAUACAGCGAAGAUUAGCAUGACCCCUGCACAAGGAUGACAUGCAAAUUCGUGAAGGGUUCCAUUUUUAA